AUUGAACGCUGGCGGCAGGCCUAACACAUGCAAGUCGAGCGGAUGAAGGGAGCUUGCUCCUGGAUUCAGCGGCGGACGGGUGAGUAAUGCCUAGGAAUCUGCCUGGUAGUGGGGGAUAACGUCCGGAAACGGGCGCUAAUACCGCAUACGUCCUGAGGGAGAAAGUGGGGGAUCUUCGGACCUCACGCUAUCAGAUGAGCCUAGGUCGGAUUAGCUAGUUGGUGGGGUAAAGGCCUACCAAGGCGACGAUCCGUAACUGGUCUGAGAGGAUGAUCAGUCACACUGGAACAUAGACACGAUCCAGACUCCUACGGGAGGCAGCAGUGGGGAAUAUUGGACAAAGGGCGAAAGCCUGAUACAGCCAUGCCGCGUGUGUGAAGAAGGUCUUCGGAUUGUAAAGCCCUUUAAGUUGGGAGGAAGGGCAGUAAGUUAAUACCUUGCUGUUUUGACGUUACCAACAGAAUAAGCACCGGCUAACUUCGUG
rnacentral:rRNA from 1 species